UACGUAGGUCCCGAGCGUUGUCCGGAUUUAUUGGGCGUAAAGCGAGCGCAGGUGGUUUAUUAAGUCUGGUGUAAAAGGCAGUGGCUCAACCAUUGUAUGCAUUGGAAACUGGUAGACUUGAGUGCAGGAGAGGAGAGUGGAAUUCCAUGUGUAGCGGUGAAAUGCGUAGAUAUAUGGAGGAACACCGGUGGUGAAAGCGGCUCUCUGGCCUGUAACUGACGCUGAGGCUCGAAAGCGUGGGGAGCAAACAGG
rnacentral:rRNA from 1 species